rnacentral:rRNA from 1 species
UACGGAGGGGGCUAGCGUUGUUCGGAAUUACUGGGCGUAAAGCGCACGUAGGCGGCUUUGUAAGUUAGAGGUGAAAGCCCGGGGCUCAACUCCGGAAUUGCCUUUAAGACUGCAUCGCUAGAAUUGUGGAGAGGUAAGUGGAAUUCCGAGUGUAGAGGUGAAAUUCGUAGAUAUUCGGAAGAAACACCAGUGGCGAAGGCGACUUACUGGACACAUAUUGACGCUGAGGUGCGAAAAGCGUGGGGAGCAAACAGG